GGGGAUUUAGCUCAGCGGUAGAGCGCUUGCCUAAGCAAGCACAAGGUCCUGGGUUCGGUCCCCAGCUCCG
rfam:Rattus norvegicus chromosome 3, whole genome shotgun sequence.